GAUGAACGCUGGCGGCGUGCCUAAUACAUGCAAGUCGAGCGAACAGACGAGAGUGCUUGCACUCUCUGACGUUAGCGGCGGACGGGUGAGUAACACGUGGGUAACCUACCUAUAAGACUGGGAUAACUUCGGGAAACCGGAGCUAAUACCGGAUAAUAUUUAGCUUCGCAUGAAGCAAUAGUGAAAGACGGUUCUGCUGUCACUUAUAGAUGGACCCGCGGUGUAUUAGCUAGUUGGUGAGGUAACGGCUCACCAAGGCAACGAUACAUAGCCGACCUGAGAGGGUGAUCGGCCACACUGGGACUGAGACACGGCCCAGACUCCUACGGGAGGCAGCAGUAGGGAAUCUUCCACAAUGGACGAAAGUCUGACGGAGCAAUGCCGCGUGAGUGAAGAAGGUUUUCGGAUCGUAAAACUCUGUUGUAAGGGAAGAACAAGUACGUUAGUAACUGAACGUACCUUGACGGUACCUUACCAGAAAGCCACGGCUAACUACGUG
rnacentral:rRNA from 1 species